rnacentral:rRNA from 1 species
GACGAACGCUGGCGGCGUGCCUAAUACAUGCAAGUCGAACGCAGUGGGGACGGGUGAGUCACACGUGGGUAACCUCCCAUCAGAGGGGAUAACACUUGGGAACAGGUGCUAAACCGAUACUGAUGGAUGGACCCGCGGUGCAUUAGCUAGUUGGUGAGGUAACGGCUCACCAAGGCCACGAUGCAUAGCCGACCUGAGAGGGUGAGCGGCCACACUGGGACUGAGACACGGCCCAGACGCCUACGGGAGGCAGCAGUAGGGAAUCUUCGGCAAUGGACGAAAGUCUGACCGAGAAACGCCGCGUGAGUGAGGAAGGUUUUCGGAUCGUAAAGCUCUGUUGUUAGAGAAGCGGGAUCUAAACAGAAAGCCACGGCUGACUACGGGCCAGCAGCCGCGGGAAUUC